rnacentral:rRNA from 1 species
CAGCAGCCGCUGGAAUACGAAGGGGGCUAGCGUUGCUCGGAAUGACUGGGCGUAAAGGGCGCGUAGGCGGUUUGUACAGUUGGAUGUGAAAUUCCUGGGCUUAACCUGGGGGCUGCAUUCAAUACGUGCAGGCUUGAGUGGGGAAGAGGGUCGUGGAAUUCCCAGUGUAGAGGUGAAAUUCGUAGAUAUUGGGAAGAACACCGGUGGCGAAGGCGGCGACCUGGUCCUUGACUGACGCUGAGGCGCGAAAGCGUGGGGAGCAAACAGGAUUAGAUACCCCGGUAGUCCCUGUCUCUUAUAC